UAAGGGUUUUCCCCCGAGGAACCUGCGGAAGGAUCAUUG
rnacentral:rRNA from 1 species